CCUAUCAGCUUUCGACGGUAUGGUAUUGGCUUACCGUGGCAGUGACGGUUAACGGGGGAUUAGGGUUCGAUUCCGGAGAGGGAGCCUGAGAAACGGCUACCACAUCUAAGGAAGGCAGCAGGCGCGCAAAUUACCCAAUUCUAACAGUUUGAGAGAGGUAGUAACAAGAAAUAACAAUACAAGGCAGUUAAAAUGCUUUGUAAUUGGAAUGAUAGAAAUUUAAACCCUUUUUAAAGUAUCAAUUGGAGGGCAAGUCUGGUGCCAGCAGCCGCGGUAAUUCCAGCUCCAAUAGCGUAUAUUAAAAUUGUUGCAGUUAAAAAGCUCGUAGUUGAAGUUCUGCUAAAAGUAACCGGUCUGCUUUUAAUAAAAGUGGUAUCUUGGUGUGUAUUUAGCAAUGAUGUCCUUUGAAGUGUUUUUUACUUUAUUGUAAUAAAGCAUAUUCAGGACUUUUACUUUGAGAAAAUUAGAGUGUUUCUAGCAGGCUGACGCUUUGAAUACUGCAGCAUGGAAUAAUAAGAUAGGAUUUUAGUUCUACAUUAUUGGUUUUAAGAGCUAAAUUAAUGAUUGAUAGGGACAGUUGGGGGCAUUUGUAUUUAACUGUC
rnacentral:rRNA from 1 species